rnacentral:rRNA from 1 species
CAAUAGCGUAUAUUAAAGUUGUUGCGGUUAAAAAGCUCGUAGUUGGAUUUCUGCCGAGGACGACCGGUCCGCCCUCUGGGUGUGUAUCUGGUUUGGCCUGGGCAUCUUCUUGGAGAACGUAGCUGCACUUGACUGUGUGGUGCGGUGUCCAGGACUUUUACUUUGAGGAAAUUAGAGUGUUUCAAGCAGGCACACGCCUUGAAUACAUUAGCAUGGAAUAAUAAGAUAGGACCUCGGUUCUAUUUUGUUGGUUUCUAGAGCUGAGGUAAUGAUUAAUAGGGAUAGUUGGGGGCAUUCGUAUUUAACUGUCAGAGGUGAAAUUCUUGGAUUUGUUAAAGACAGACUACUGCGAAAGCAUUUGCCAAGGAUGUUUUCAUUGA